GACGAACGCUGGCGGCGUGCCUAAUACAUGCAAGUAGAACGCACAGUUUAUACCGUAGCUUGCUACACCAUAGACUGUGAGUUGCGAACGGGUGAGUAACGCGUAGGUAACCUGCCUGGUAGCGGGGGAUAACUAUUGGAAACGAUAGCUAAUACCGCAUAAUAUUGAUUAUUGCAUGAUAAUUGAUUGAAAGAUGCUAUUGCAUCACUACCAGAUGGACCUGCGUUGUAUUAGCUAGUAGGUGAGGUAACGGCUCACCUAGGCGACGAUACAUAGCCGACCUGAGAGGGUGAUCGGCCACACUGGGACUGAGACACGGCCCAGACUCCUACGGGAGGCAGCAGUAGGGAAUCUUCGGCAAUGGACGAAAGUCUGACCGAGCAACGCCGCGGGAGUGGAGAAGGGUUUCGGAUCGUAAAGCUCUGUUGUAAGAGAAGAACGGGUGUGAGAGUGGAAAGUUCACACUGUGACGGUAUCUUACCAGAAAGGGACGGCUAACUACGUG
rnacentral:rRNA from 1 species